UACAGAGGGUGCAAGCGUUGUUCGGAAUUAUUGGGCGUAAAGCGCGCGCAGGCGGGAUUGCAAGUCGGAUGUGAAAGCCCUCGGCUCAACCGAGGAAGUGCGUUCGAAACUGCAGUUCUUGAGUGUCGGAGAGGGUGGCGGAAUUCCCGGUGUAGAGGUGAAAUUCGUAGAUAUCGGGAGGAACACCAGAGGCGAAGGCGGCCACCUGGACGAACACUGACGCUGAGGCGCGAAAGCGUGGGGAGCGAACAGG
rnacentral:rRNA from 1 species